AGUGAACGCUGGCGGUAGGCCUAACACAUGCAAGUCGAACGGCAGCACAGUAAGAGCUUGCUCUUACGGGUGGCGAGUGGCGGACGGGUGAGGAAUACAUCGGAAUCUACUUUUUCGUGGGGGAUAACGUAGGGAAACUUACGCUAAUACCGCAUACGACCUACGGGUGAAAGCAGGGGAUCUUCGGACCUUGCGCGAUUGAAUGAGCCGAUGUCGGAUUAGCUAGUUGGCGGGGUAAGGGCCCACCAAGGCGACGAUCCGUAGCUGGUCUGAGGGGAUGAUCAGCCACACUGGAACUGAGACACGGUCCAGACUCUUACGGGAGGCAGCAGUGGGGAAUAUUGGACAAUGGGCGCAAGCCUGAUCCAGCCAUACCGCGUGGGUGAAGAAGGCCUUCGGGUUGUAAAGCCCUUUUGUUGGGAAAGAAAAGCAGCAGGUUAAUACCCCGCUGUUCUGACGGUACCCAAAGAAUAAGCACCGGCUAACUUCGUG
rnacentral:rRNA from 1 species